GAUGAACGCUGGCGGCGUGCCUAAUACAUGCAAGUCGAGCGAACAGAUGAGGAGCUUGCUCCUCUGACGUUAGCGGCGGACGGGUGAGUAACACGUGGAUAACCUACCUAUAAGACUGGGAUAACUUCGGGAAACCGGAGCUAAUACCGGAUAAUAUAUUGAACCGCAUGGUUCAAUAGUGAAAGACGGUUUUGCUGUCACUUAUAGAUGGAUCCGCGCCGCAUUAGCUAGUUGGUAAGGUAACGGCUUACCAAGGCAACGAUGCGUAGCCGACCUGAGAGGGGGAUCGGCCACACUGGAACUGAGACACGGUCCAGACUCCUACGGGAGGCAGCAGUAGGGAAUAUUCCGCAAUGGGCGAAAGCUUGACGGAGCAACGCCGCGUGAGUGAUGAAGGUCUUCGGAUCGUAAAACUCUGUUAUUAGGGAAGAACAAAUGUGUAAGUAACUAUGCACGUCUUGACGGUACCUAAUCAGAAAGCCACGGCUAACUACGUG
rnacentral:rRNA from 1 species